UCGCUUACCCAUCGCUCAACCUCGUUAACCAGAGAGAGUGCAAACCCAUGGUUUUAAAGAGAGAAGUCAAGCGGGAAUCUCACCUUUGGCAACGACAAUGAAUCAGCUUAGGGUUUCGAAUUGGUCCCUUCUUCCAAAAGAGUAUCUCUGUAACCUCCUUUCUGAUGUGCUCAGUUCGGAUUGGCUUGUUUAAUGCUAAAACCGAAAACG